rnacentral:rRNA from 1 species
GAUGAACGCUGGCGGCGUGCUUAACACAUGCAAGUCGAACGAAGAUGCCGGAGUGCUUGCACUUUGGCAGACUGAGUGGCGGACGGGUGAGUAACGCGUGGGUAACCUGCCUUAUACAGGGGGAUAACAGUUGGAAACGACUGCUAAUACCGCAUAAGCGCACAGCAUCGCAUGAUGCAGUGUGAAAAACUCCGGUGGUAUAAGAUGGACCCCGCGUUGGAUUAGCUAGUUGGUGAGGUAACGGCCCACCAAGGCGACGAUCCAUAGCCGACUUGAGAGAGUGAUCGGCCACAUUGGGACUGAGACACGGCCCAAAACUCCUACGGGAGGCAGCAGUAGGGAAUAUUGCACAAUGGGGGAAACCCUGAUGCAGCGACGCCGCGUGAAGGAAGAAGUAUUUCGGUAUGUAAACUUCUAUCAGCAAGGAAGAAAAUGACGGUACUUGACUAAGAAGCCCCGGCUAAAUACGUGCCAGCAGCCGCGGU